UGCGAAGGGGGCUAGCGUUGUUCGGAUUUACUGGGCGUAAAGCGCACGUAGGCGGAUCGAUCAGUCAGGGGUGAAAUCCCAGAGCUCAACUCUGGAACUGCCUUUGAUACUGUCGAUCUGGAGUAUGGAAGAGGUGAGUGGAAUUCCGAGUGUAGAGGUGAAAUUCGUAGAUAUUCGGAGGAACACCAGUGGCGAAGGCGGCUCACUGGUCCAUUACUGACGCUGAGGUGCGAAAGCGUGGGGAGCAAACAGG
rnacentral:rRNA from 1 species